rnacentral:pre_miRNA from 1 species
UUAGCUCAUAUUUGUAUGGAAUGAGAAAGUUUGCCUACGUUUUCCGCUAGGGGCGCUGUUCCAACUGCAUACAAAAUUGGGCUA